GGGUCGUUAGCUCAGUUGGUAGAGCAGCGGACUUUUAAUCCGUUGGUCGCGAGUUCGAGCCUCGCACGACCCACCA
rnacentral:tRNA from 1 species